rnacentral:tRNA from 1 species
UGGGGUAUGGCUCAGCUGUAGAGUGCUUGCCUCACAUGUAUGAGGCCCUGGGUUCAAUCCCCAGCAGCACAA